rnacentral:rRNA from 1 species
CCUACGGGUGGCAGCAGUGGGGAAUAUUGGGCAAUGGAGGAAACUCUGACCCAGCAACGCCGCGUGAAUGAUGAAGGUCUUCGGAUUGUAAAGUUCUUUUCUAAGGGAAGAAGAAAGCGACGGUACCUUAGGAAUAAGCCUCGGCUAACUACGUGCCAGCAGCCGCGGUAAUACGUAGGCGGCGAGCGUUAUCCGGAAUGACUGGGCGUAAAGGGUGCGUAGGCGGUUUGGCAAGUUGGUAGCGAAACUCCAGGGCUCAACCUUGGAACUACUACUAAAACUGUUGGACUUGAGUGCAGGAGAGGCAAGCGGAAUUCCUAGUGUAGCGGUGGAAUGCGUAGAUAUUAGGAGGAACACCAGUGGCGAAGGCGGGUUGCUGGACUGUAACUGACGCUGAGGCACGAAAGCGUGGGGAGCAAACAGGAUUAGAUACCCCUGUAGUC